rnacentral:lncRNA from 1 species
GGCAGCUUCCUGAAGGCUCAGUCCCGAUUCAGCAAUCCUCAUGACCAAACCCAUUGCCCAGCAGCUAAAAAUGAGCAGGUCAGAGAGAAAGAGAAUCAUUUGGCUAAUACUGGGUUAGCCAUAUAAAUCUGGGUUCGAUUCCAUUCAAUGAGCAUAUAUGAAGCGCCUACUAUAAAGCUGGAUAUCAAGGGUCCAGAGGAACAGAUGAAACUCUCUCUGCCCCCAGGGGCAAUGAAAUAUGGAAGAAGGAUGAGAAGGAGACCUGUGUCUGCUGACAUUUGGGGCUCUGACAAUUGCACAUACGCCAUGGCUCCUGGGCAGCUCAUUCCCUGGAUUUCUACAGAGGCACGUACUUGGACGGGUCGUGCUGCUGAACUGGAUUCAUGUCACUAGCAAGGUCAUAUAUGGAAAACUGUCGAGCUGGGGCAUCAUCACCUAGGAAGGAGAUUCAUAGACUGGAGAGGAUUUACACAAUCAAAGGAAC